UUGCCUCAGUAACGGCGAGUGAAGCGGCAACAGCUCAAAUUUGAAAUCUGGCUCUUCUGGAGCCCGAGUUGUAAUUUGCAGAGGGUGCUUUGGUGUUGGCAGCGGCCUAAGUUCCUUGGAACAGGGCGUCAUAGAGGGUGAGAACCCCGUACGUGGCCGCCCGCCUUCACCGUGUAAAGCCCCUUCGACGAGUCGAGUUGUUUGGGAAUGCAGCUCUAAAUGGGAGGUAAAUUCCUUCUAAAGCUAAAUACUGGCCAGAGACCGAUAGCGCACAAGUAGAGUGAUCGAAAGAUGAAAAGCACUUUGGAAAGAGAGUCAAACAGCACGUGAAAUUGUUGAAAGGGAAGCGCUUGCAGCCAGACUUGCCCGCGGUCGUUCUUCUUCCGCGGGCAGGCCAGCAUCAGUCUGGGCGGUCGGAUAAAGGCCUCGGGAAUGUAGCUCUCUUCGGGGAGUGUUAUAGCCCGGGGCGCCAUGCGGCCAGCUCGGACUGAGGUCCGCGCAUCUGCUAGGAUGCUGGCGUAAUGGCUGUAAGCGGCCCGUCUUGAAACACGGACCAAGGAGUCUAACAUCUAUGCGAGUGUUUGGGUGUCAAGCCCGGGCGCGCAAUGAAAGUGAACGGAGGUGGGAACCCCUCGGGGCGCACCAUCGACCGAUCCUGAUGUCUUCGGAUGGAUUUGAGUAAGAGCAUAGCUGUUGGGACCCGAAAGAUGGUGAACUAUGCCUGAAUAGGGUGAAGCCAGAGGAAACUCUGGUGGAGGCUCGCAGCGGUUCUGACGUGCAAAUCGAUCGUCAAAUUUGGGCAUA
rnacentral:rRNA from 1 species